CAAGACUUUGGGAAACUGUUAGCAGGGCCUUAGGAGCACUUUUGCUCUUGGGGGGCAGCCUUGCUCUAUUGCUCGUUGGCACUGAGGGAAGCUCUCUGGGGAGAGGAGCCCACCAAUGCUUGGCUGACAAGACCUCAGUCAUGUCUGAUGUGGCUUCACCUUUGCUGCCGUCUUCGUAUCACUAGGGGAGCCCUGUGGAGUGGGGUGGAGUUCAAGAUGGAUUCUCAAGAAGUUAUAGGAAGCUCUUUAUCAAUUCAAUUCCUGAGAAGGGCCCACUUCAGGGAUGUUACAGUGCAGACAAAGAUUCUGGUGCCUCACAAGAUUUGACACAAGCCAGCGCUUUGUUGUUUUUCUCACCUGUUGGCCAGAAGAUUAUCUUGGAGCAGGAAAAGGU
rnacentral:lncRNA from 1 species